UUAUUUCCUUAUCCAAACAAAGCCUAUCGUUAAAACCAAAGCCAUUAACCCCAUUUAUUAGGGUUUCAUUUGGCAAGAUGCUGCCAAACCACCAUUUUAUUUGGUGACCAGCAAUUCAUAGGCAAUGGUCAGCUGGUACGCGACCACAGAAAUCCGGAUGACGCCUUUGGAUCCCCUUCCAACUUCGAUCUCAACAAAGUGAACAGAGAUCAAAGGCUGAAUUACAAGGUAUGGAGAAACGGCUGUACGGAGGAGAAUUGCGAAGGAGGCUGCGCGAGGAGCCACUCGUAGGAGUCCCAAUUUUUGGCCUAUUUUGGCACGUUCCAGAAGCUGCUAGUGCUGCUGAGAUAAUUUUAGAUUUAUUGGGCCUCAGGUUUUAGGGUUUUUUGGGUCAUGGGUUAUUAAAAAUGGGUUUAAAAAAUUAUUGGAUUUUGGCUGUUUUAAUUUAGUUUAUUUUGUGUUUAUUGUUUUUUUGAUUUUUUUGGUAUAAGCCCGGACAAAAAUUGGGCUUACAGAGUUAAUUGACUCGAAAUGUGAGAAAAUAAAAAUAAAGGAAUCAAAAUAUGUUAGUGCUCGAGUUGCCUCUCGAGAAGCGCUUAUUUAUAGUCUAA